CUCUGGGGACGCUUCAGGUUUAAUCAGUGCUCCUUAUACUCAGGGGAAGCAUUUGAUUGCAAACUUAAACUAAUGGCACUCAGAAGGUUACAACAAUCAUCAGAUAAGAGGCUUUAGGGCAUUUUUAUCUUGUUCUAAUGCUCACAAGUUAAUGAGGCAAUAAGAGAUACUAUCAGACUUGGUCUAGCAACAUAUUGUACAGACUGGAUGUUCAAAACUGCAUUUACUGCAGAUGCAAGAGCUUUGUAUGCAUUUCACUGGAUCCAAAAUGGAGGAAACUGAAGAGGAAAAUAGAGAACCAAACAGCUGGGGAGAUGGGAAGAGGCACAUAAGAAGGCAAAUAAAUGAACCAAGUGGAAGAGGGGUAGUACCAGAAACUCAGCCAAGUCUCCAAAGUCACACUCUAGUGAGAUUUUUCACUAGGAUCAGCUGCUGCUCUGCAAAUAGGUCCAGCAACCCAUAGUGUGGAAGAAAAUUCUCUCUUCACUCCUGCCUGAAGCCAAAAUUUACAGGAAAACGUUUCAGACAGAGAUGGCACACAGAUAAUCUUUCCAAUAUCUGUAAAUACAGAGUAAAUGUUCUAGUAACACAGAAGUGGAAAGUUUUAA